rnacentral:rRNA from 1 species
GUGUGAAUUGCAGGACACCCCGAUCACUCGACAUUCGAACGCACAUUGCAGCCAUUGGAUAUCCGAUGGCUUCGUUUGUCUGAGCGUCGUAU